UCGGGAAUUUUGGGCAAUGGGCGAAAGCCUGACCCAGCAACGCCGCGUGCAGGAUGAAGGUCCUCGGGUUGUAAACUGCGGUAGUAGGGGAGGAACGCAAGUGACUGUACCCUACGGAAAGUGGUUGGUAACUACGUGCCAGCACCAGCGGUAAUACGUAGACCACAAGCGUUAUCCGGAUUUAUUGGGCGUAAAGAGCAUGUAGGAGGUCCGGUGCGUCUCUGGUUAAAGCCCACCGCCUAACGGUGGAAGUGCCAGAGAUACGAUCGGACUGGAGGAUGUGAGAGGUGCAUGGAACUCACGGUGUAGGGGUGAAAUCCGUUGAUAUCGUGGGGAACACCAAAGGCGAAGGCAGUGCACUGGUACAUUCCUGACUCUGAGAUGCGAAAGCGUGGGGAGCAAAAAGGAUUAGAUACCCAUGUAGUCCCUGAGCGGGCUGGCAAGGCGCAU
rnacentral:rRNA from 1 species